rnacentral:lncRNA from 1 species
UUGGCUGAGCUUACACCCUUCAAAAAAAUCGAAGGAAUGAGGUCUUUCACUCAACAUAUAAACCCAAUUUUUCUUUUUCUUUAUUGCUUUUCAGUUUCUCGUCCUAUUUUCCAUAGAUGCUGCCAUUGUGGAUCCCUAUAUGCAUUGAAUUUAACUUGACUCUUUUUGAUUUGUUAUGAACUUUUUCUCAUGCGCUUCAGUGAAUCUUCUUUUUCAGAAAAAAUUGCAAGUCAAGAUUACAAGGAUUGUUCUAAACUGCUGGAUGAAGCAAUGUGUUCUUUUAGCGGGCUUUUAUAUGUUUGCAUAGUUUUUCCUCUUCAAACAUGAAGCUUGGAAAAAUUCAGAAAAUUGUUACUGAAGUUAAGCUUUAUGUACGACAUAU